rnacentral:rRNA from 1 species
UCAAGCGACUAAGUGCAUAUGGUGGAUGCCUUGGCGAUCACAGGCGAUGAAGGACGUAGUAGCCUGCGAAAAGCUGCGGGGAGCUGGCAAACAAGCAUUGAUCCGCAGAUAUCCGAAUGGGGAAACCCACCGCGCAAGCGGUAUCCCUGGCUGAAUACAUAGGCCAGUGGAGGCGAACCGGGUGAACUGAAACAUCUCAGUAGCUCGAGGAAAAGAAAUCAACCGAGAUUCCGAAAGUAGUGGCGAGCGAAAUCGGAAGAGCCUUUACGAUUUAGCAUUUUGCAUAGUCGAACGGAAUGGAAAGUCCGGCCGUAGCAGGUGAUAGCCCUGUAGACGAAAUGCAGAGUGUGGAACUAGGCGUAAGAGAAGUAGGGCGGGACACGUGAAAUCCUGUCUGAAGAUGGGGGGACCAUCCUCCAAGGCUAAAUACUCGUGAUCGACCGAUAGUGAACCAGUACCGUGAGGGAAAGGCGAAAAGAACCCCGGAAGGGGAGUGAAAUAGAUCCUGAAACCGUAUGCAUACAAACAGUCGGAGCCUCUUUAUGGGGUGACGGCGUACCUUUUGUAUAAUGGGUCAGCGACUUACAUUCAGUGGCGAGCUUAACCGAAUAGGGAAGGCGUAGCGAAAGCGAGUCCGAAUAGGGCGUCCAGUCGCUGGGUGUAGACCCGAAACCAGAUGAUCUACCCAUGGCCAGGUUGAAGGCACGGUAACACGUGCUGGAGGACCGAACCCACUAGUGUUGAAAAACUAGGGGAUGAGCUGUGGAUAGGGGUGAAAGGCUAAACAAAUCUGGAAAUAGCUGGUUCUCUCCGAAAACUAUUUAGGUAGUGCCUCAAGUAUUACUGCAGGGGGUAGAGCACUGUUAUGGCUAGGGGGUCAUGGCGACUUACCAAACCAUGGCAAACUCCGAAUACCUGCAAGUACAGCUUGGGAGACAGAGCACCGGGUGCUAACGUCCGGACUCAAGAGGGAAACAACCCAGACCGCCAGCUAAGGUCCCGAAUUAUCGCUAAGUGGGAAACGAAGUGGGAAGGCAUAGACAGUCAGGAGGUUGGCUUAGAAGCAGCCACCCUUUAAAGAAAGCGUAAUAGCUCACUGAUCGAGUCGUCCUGCGCGGAAGAUGUAACGGGGCUAAGCGAUAAACCGAAGCUGCGGGUGUGCACUUUUAGUGCGCGCGGUAGGAGAGCGUUCUGUAAGCCUGCGAAGGUGGCUUGUAAAGGCUGCUGGAGGUAUCAGAAGUGCGAAUGCUGACAUGAGUAGCGAUAAAGGGGGUGAAAAGCCCCCUCGCCGUAAGUCCAAGGUUUCCUGCGCAACGUUCAUCGGCGCAGGGUGAGUCGGCCCCUAAGGCGAGGCAGAGAUGCGUAGCUGAUGGGAAGCUGGUUAAUAUUCCAGCACCGUCGUACAGUGCGAUGGGGGGACGGAUCGCGGAAGGUCAUCAGGGUGUUGGACGUCCCUGUUGCUGCAUUGAAGAUGGCGCUUAGGCAAAUCCGGGCGCGAGAAUCAAGGGUGUGGCACGAGCGAGCAAGUCUCGCGAAGUGAUUGGAAGUGGUUCCAAGAAAAGCCUCUAAGCUUCAGCUGUACGAGACCGUACCGCAAACCGACACAGGUGGACGGGAUGAAUAUUCCAAGGCGCUUGAGAGAACUCAGGAGAAGGAACUCGGCAAAUUGAUACCGUAACUUCGGGAGAAGGUAUACCCUGGUAGUGUGAAGCGCCUGCGCGCNNCACACUGGGACUGAGACACGGCCCAGACUCCUACGGGAGGCAGCAGUGGGGAAUUUUGGACAAUGGGGGGCAACCCUGAUCCAGCCAUCCCGCGUGUGCGAUGAAGGCCUUCGGGUUGUAAAGCACUUUUGGCAGGAAAGAAACGGCACGGGCUAAUAUCCUGUGCAACUGACGGUACCUGCAGAAUAAGCACCGGCUAACUACGUGCCAGCAGCCGCGGUAAUACGUAGGGUGCAAGCGUUAAUCGGAAUUACUGGGCGUAAAGCGUGCGCAGGCGGUUCGGAAAGAAAGAUGUGAAAUCCCAGGGCUUAACCUUGGAACUGCAUUUUUAACUACCGGGCUAGAGUGUGUCAGAGGGAGGUGGAAUUCCGCGUGUAGCAGUGAAAUGCGUAGAUAUGCGGAGGAACACCGAUGGCGAAGGCAGCCUCCUGGGAUAACACUGACGCUCAUGCACGAAAGUGUGGGGAGCAAACAGGAUUAGAUACCCUGGUAGUCCACGCCCUAAACGAUGUCAACUAGCUGUUGGGGCCUUCGGGCCUUGGUAGCGCAGCUAACGCGUGAAGUUGACCGCCUGGGGAGUACGGUCGCAAGAUUAAAACUCAAAGGAAUUGACGGGGACCCGCACAAGCGGUGGAUGAUGUGGAUUAAUUCGAUGCAACGCGAAAAACCUUACCUACCCUUGACAUGUCUGGAAUCCCGAAGAGAUUUGGGAGUGCUCGCAAGAGAACCGGAACACAGGUGCUGCAUGGCUGUCGUCAGCUCGUGUCGUGAGAUGUUGGGUUAAGUCCCGCAACGAGCGCAACCCUUGUCAUUAGUUGCUACGAAAGGGCACUCUAAUGAGACUGCCGGUGACAAACCGGAGGAAGGUGGGGAUGACGUCAAGUCCUCAUGGCCCUUAUGGGUAGGGCUUCACACGUCAUACAAUGGUCGGGACAGAGGGUUGCCAAC